AGUAAAUAGAUACCCGGGUAGUCCAUGCUGUAAACGAUGGAUGCUAGCUGUGAUGCGUAUCGACCCGCGUCGUAGCGAAGCUAACGCGUUAAGCAUCCCGCCUGUGGAGUACGGCCGCAAGGCUAAAACAUAAAGGAAUUGACGGGGACCCGCACAAGCGGUGGAGCGUGUUGUUUAAUUCGAUGGUAAGCGAAGAACCUUACCCAGGUUUGACAUCCUUGGAAGUUCUGCGAAAGCAGAGUGUGCCUUCGGGAACCAAGUGACAGGUGAUGCAUGGCCGUCUUCAGCUCGUGUCGUGAGACGUUAGGUUAAGUCCUUCAACGAGCGCAACCCUUAUAGUUAGUUGUAUUUUCUAGCUAGACUGCCCUGGUAACAGGGAGGAAGGAGGGGACGAUGUCAGGUCAGUAUCUCCCUUAUAUCUGGGGCUACAAACACGCUACAAUGGCCGGUACAAAGGGAAGCCAACCCGCGAGGGGAGCAAAUCCCAUCAAAGCCGGUCUCAGUUCGGAUUGUAGGCUGAAACUCGCCUGCAUGAAG
rnacentral:rRNA from 1 species